GACGAACGCUGGCGGCGUGCCUAACACAUGCAAGUCGAGCGGAGCCAUCUAGAAGAUCCCUUCGGGGUGAUUCUGGGGAAGCUUAGCGGCGGACGGGUGAGUAACGCGUGAGUAACCUGCCCAUUAGUGGGGAAUAACACAGAGAAAUUUGUGCUAAUACCGCAUAAUGUAUCGAGAAGACAUCUUCAUGAUACCAAAGAUUUAUCGCACAAAGAUGGGCUCGCGUCUGAUUAGCUAGUUGGUAAGGUAACGGCUUACCAAGGCGACGAUCAGUAGCCGGACUGAGAGGUUGAACGGCCACAUUGGAACUGAGAUACGGUCCAGACUCCUACGGGAGGCAGCAGUGGGGAAUAUUGGGCAAUGGGCGAAAGCCUGACCCAGCGACGCCGCGUGAGGGAAGAAGGUCUUCGGAUUGUAAACCUUUGUAGACAGGGACGAAGAAAUGACGGUACCUGUAAAGUAAGCCACGGCUAACUACGUG
rnacentral:rRNA from 1 species